rnacentral:rRNA from 1 species
GACGAACGCUGGCGGCGUGCUUAACACAUGCAAGUCGAACGGCAAGGCCCUGCGUUUGUGGGGUGCUCGAGUGGCGAACGGGUGAGUAACACGUGAGUAACCUGCCCUUGACUUUGGGAUAACUUCAGGAAACUGGGGCUAAUACCGGAUAGGAGCUCCUGCUCCAUGGUGGGGGUUGGAAAGUUUCGGCGGUUGGGGAUGGACUCGCGGCUUAUCAGCUUGUUGGUGGGGUAGUGGCUUACCACGGAUUUGAAGGGUAGCCGGCCUGAGAGGGGGACCGGCCACAUUGCGACUGAGAUACGGCACAGUCUCCUACGGGAGGCAGCAGUGGGGAAUAUUGCACAAUGGGCGGAAGCCAGAUGCAGAAACGCCGCGUGCGGGAAGACGGCCUUCGGGUUGUAAACCGCUUUCGCCGGUAACGAAGCGUGAGUGACGGUAAUGGGUAAAGAAGCACCGGCUAACUACGUG